rnacentral:lncRNA from 1 species
AUGCACGGGAGUUUCUCGCCGGCAGCUCCCAGCCGAUCUGCACGCGGGUCUGCCCGCGGAGAGGCCGCCGCGCCCCUCCCACCGCCGGCAGUGGCCGCGAGGACGCGGACCUGUUCUGGCUUGCUCUCGGAUCCACACCCUCCCCGCAGAGGGAGGCUCGCGCAGCUCCUCUCUGCGGUGGUUCUGCCCACCCACCCCACACCCACGCCGCUUAUUCCCCCUCCCUUUCCUCGCUCCCUUGGGACAGCGAGAGUUUCAGGCUUAAGGCUUUUAUUUCACGGUGAAAAGCAAGGGACGAAGCCCAAACUUUGCUCGCCAUUUUCUACGUCUAUGGUUAAAAGAGGAAUUCAAAAUGGAGGCAGUGACUUAAACUUCCAUAUCCAAGAAACACUUCAUAGUUAUUACCUCCAAGGAUAAUUUCAUAUUUUUAAUACAUUGUCAAGGACAGGCAACCAAUUCAGGUUUUCCCAUCCCAAGAAACUUACAGAUCUACUGCCUCUGCUUCUAGAAAGACUGGAACCUAACACCAGAAGGCAGCCAGCCUUCAGCCUGUAUGGAUGUUUGCUGAAGAUACCUUCUGCUGCUGCUCUGAAAUCCUCUCUUGGCUCCUAUUCUCCGGUCUGACACUCUAUUCAGCACAUUUCUCACUCUACAAACAGUCCUUAUCUAUCAGCCGUCACACCUUUGCAUGUGGGUGCUAGAGAAAGACUGGAUACUUAUGUCACAUGAAAAUGUGAUUGCAUUAGCCUUGAAAGGUGUGAAUUUCUUGCUCACAAUUGAGGAAGAUCGUGGAAAAUAAAAUUUCAGCUAUCAAAUCACAAAUGCAAGGGAGAAAAGGACUUCUUUCAUGAAUAGAAGCAGAAGGUGAGAGAGAUAGGCUGGUCAUCUGGAAAAAAAAGAGGAAGGAUAUUAAAAGCCGGGGUAUUUUUCAGCUUUUACUGCUGAUUUACUACCUACCCUCGGCCUGAACCAUCAUUUGGUAUCAUUCCCAGAGUAGGGCCAUUGAAGGAAUAUUGGCUCUUGGCAAAGGCUAGUAGCUAGUGAUAUGGCAUCAUUCCUAGAAAAAUUGUUUAGCAGAAGAGCUAUAGUUUUGGAAAUGGCAUUUCAGUCUAGCAGUUCAGAACAGUCACAGAUCGACAGAGGUUUUCCAGCCAACUGCUGUAAUAAAGGAAAGCAGGAUCUUUCCACUGAGGGAUAAACCCUCAAAGGCAACCUUGGAAGUACAAAGCAGCCACCUUAGCUUAGAUAUUAAUAAAGCAAAAGAGGACCAUAUUAACUCUGAGGAGUUAAAAUGACAGAGUCGAUACUCCUUUAACUUGUCCUUUAAUGUGAGAACAAAAGGACAUGUAUUAAAAAUCAAAGGGCAAUAAUUCUGGAACAAAUACAAAGGUAAAAUCUUGUAUUUCGUGCUGUGGAUCAUUAAUAUGUGUGAUUCACCCUUAGGAGGUCAUGGAACCAGAUACUUUCAUUGGAUUUUAAUAGGACUAAAUAAUUCUAUGGUCAUUAAUAACACUUUACUUAUAUAGCUAAAACAUUGCUUGUAUCUUGUCAAAUUUCAGGCUUCAAGGCAUUUGUUGGUUUCUUGUGGAGAUCAGAAAGAUUUCCUGUCCUCCAGUUAGAAACACCUAACUGUCAAUUAUGGCUGGCUUAUUUUCAUAUUGGUGAUUCGUUCCAAAGUCCUAGGCAACCAAGUUUUAUUCACAUUUAUUGGGGGAAAAGCCUGAUAUUUGGGGAAGAUGAGAAUUUCAUCUGAAUCUGUACUCCAAACAUAGCAUAAAAUCUUUUCAAUCUGGUAAGGACCUCAGCUAACAUAUUCUCCUACAGCUUCUUUUUAUACUUGAGGUAGGUAAGGUUCAGAAGUUUUCUCAAGGUGGUACAACUAGUUAGUGGCCUAUAAAAUAUUUUUUUGAAUCUCCUUGUUUUUAAUCUUGUAUCAUUUUAGAAUGUGACAAGCCACUGCAAUUCUGGAAGAUAAUUUAUUCCAAUUUUGCUACAGCAAACAAAACGUAUGCUAAAUAGUGAGAUAGUGAGUGAUGCACAAGAAUAUUGGAGAAGGCAGUGGCAACCCACUCCAGUACUCUUGCCUGGAAAAUCCCAAGGGCAGAAGAGCCUGGUAGGCUGCAGUCCAUGGGGUCACGAAGAGUCAGACACGACUGAGUGACUUCACUUUCCUAUUUCACUUUCAUACAUUGGAAAAGGAAAUGGCAACCCACUCCAUUCUCUUGCCUGGAGAAUCCCAGGGACGGCGGAGCCUGGUGGGCUGCUGUCUGUGGGGUUGCACAGAGUCAGACAUGACUGAAGCGACUUAGCAGCAGCAGCAGCAGCACAAGAAUAAGGACUGAUCAUUACAGAAAACAUAGUUCAGCUGAAGUAAAGGACUUAGUUUAUCUUUUUCAUCUAUUCUGUCUUGUUGGUUUUGGCCAGUAAGUCUUACUGCUGUCUGUAUAAUGUAACCACUUUAGAGAAAAAGGAGAGAACUAGUGGGUCUUCUUAAUAUAAGACAUUAUGUAUGGCAGGAUGUUUACUCCCCUCUCCUCCUGCCUCACCCCUCAAAUCUGUUCUUUUUUAAUUCCUGGGCACAUGGCCACCUACUAAAAGACUGUAUUUCCCAGUUUCUCUCAUGACAAAGUGUAAACCAAAGACGAGGUUCUCGCUAAAGGGACAUGAAGAGAAAUGUAGUUGGCAAUUUCCAGGUCAUCGACUUAAAAAUAAUCUAGAUUCUUUUAGCUCUUUUUCGUUCUAGCUAGCCUGCAAUGGUUAAAGUCUUACAUUGAAGAUGACAAAAGAGCAUCUAGGAACCUGCUUAUUACCAUGAACCGACUUUAUCUCUUCUUUGAGCCAGUGUCUUCUGGGGUCUCUGUAUUAUAUUUAUUUAACCUUUCUCCAAAGUAAUACAACUGUUAUCUCAAUCAUCAGAGCAAUUUCAGAGCAGUAAAGUAAAAUAAAAAUGGAGGUACAGUGGAUACUGCUAUUUUUUAAAAAUUUCCCUGCAUUUAUCUGCAUUAAUAUGGCUCAACCAGUGCUAGGGAAUAACAAAUCCCCCUAUGUUUAUUUGGCUGAGUGGAGGCUCAUUCCAAUGCUUCCUCUCUACUUCUGGUCCAGGUGAUACAGUCAUGACCAACCAAUAUAUUCCAUCCCUCUGCUCAGAGCAAUGAAAGGCAGAUUCAAAUGGAGUCAACCAGAGACAUAUCUUGGACUUACUCUGAACAACUGGGAUAAAAAGUGAUGAUUGCUCAGCAGGUCUGAUGUAAGUGAGACUGCUUCUUAUCAACACUUAGAGCAUGCCUGAGAAUGAAACCAUGGGGGAAAGAAAAAGAGAGAGACAGAUACUUGAUAUUCUUAUUAGAAGACCUUGAUCUUCAAAUAAGCUCAAAGUUCACUGUUUAUUAAAAGCUAAAACUGAAAUAAAUCUCAAUUUGUAGCUAGGUGAAUGGAAAAUAAUUUCCAUAAAAUAAUUUGCAUUGGUUUCCUGUUUCUUGUGAUCAAAAUCAUUUUUUUUUCACUAUAACUGCCCAAGUAAGAUUAUUAUCUUGGGAUAAGUAAUCUCAGAUAUGCAGAUGACACCACCCUCAUGGCAGAAAGUAAAGAAGAACUAAAGAGCCUCUUGAUGAAAGUGAAAGCGGAGAGUGAAAAAGUUGGCUUAAAGCUCAACAUUCAGAAAACUAAGAUCAUGGCAUCCAGUCCCAUCACUUCAUGGCAAAUAGAUGGGGAAACAGUGGCUGAAUUUAUUUUUCUGGGCUCCAAAAUCACUGCAGAUGGUGAUUGCAGCCAUGAAAUUAAAAGACGCUUAUUCUUUGGAAGAAAAAUUAUGACCAACCUGGAUAGCAUAUUGAAAAGCAGAGACAUUACUUUGUCAACAAAGGUCCGUCUGGUCAAGGUUAUGGUUUUUCCAGUAGUCAUGUAUGGAAUUUCUUGUAGUAGUCAUGUAUGUAUUUCUUUUUUCUAUAAAGAAAGCUGAGCACCGAAGAAUUGAUGCUUGUGAACUGUGGUGGUGGAGAAGACUCUUGAGAGUCCCUUGGACUGUAAGGAGAUCCAACCACUCCAUCCUAAAGGAAAUCAGCCCUGAAUAUUCAUUGGAAGGACUGAUGCUGAAGCUGGAACUUUAGUACUUUGGCCACCUGAUGUGAAGAGCUGACUCAUUUGAAAAGACCCCGAUGCUGGGAAAGAUUGAGGGCAGAAGGAGAAGGGGAUUACAGAGGAUGAGGUGGUUGGAUGGUAUCACCGACUCAAUGGACAUGGCUUUGGGUAUACUCCGGGAGUUGGUGAUGGACGGGGAGGCCUGGCAUGCUGCGGUUCAUGGGGUGGCAAAGAGUCGGAUACGACUGAGCAACUGAACUGACUGAAGUUGUUUAGUAAGAGGGAUGUGCAUGGCAAAAAGUCUCCUUUCCAUGACAUUACCUAUCUGGUUGGCAGUGACGCCUUUAAAUACUCUGCCUAAAGGAUUCCACCCUAUAUCUGAAUUCAGCAGGAAAGAACAAAGUGAUCUAUUAAUGAUGCCUGACAUUAAUAUUAUACAAAAAGUGAUUCUCAUGUUCCAUAUGUAUUUGUCAUCCUUGUUUUAAGGCAUUCUUAAAAUUUGACAUAAAUCUAGAUGUAUGGAGGCCUUACUUUUUUAAAAAAAAUUAUGAUAUAAUAGUACAUUCUUUGGGGGCAUGUUUUUCACUCUUUAAAAGAGAGCCCUAGACCAAUUAGUAUUCCCGUAUAGUGUUUAGGGGCCAUAACUCAUACUUUCAAUUGACUUUUUUCCCUGCAAAAUAAACAAAUUAAUUAGCAGAGAUGUGUCUAAAGCACAAACUGCUGUUAAUAACGUGUUUUACUGUGUUAAUAGAAACCAUAAUACAAUUAUUUAGUCAUUGCAUUGGAUUUAUUUUCUUUCAGGGGUUAAAUGAGACUUAUCAAUCUAUUUUUUCAUGCCGUUUUCAGAACAUGAUAAACAGACAAACUCAAUAAGGCAUUCCAAACUCUAUUCCAUAGAACAGUAAGCCCACAGCAAGGAUUCUGAAUCCCCUGUUUGUACUGACAUGAAAGAUUUGCCUUAGUGUGUGGGCAUUAGUUCGUCUAUCUUCCGCUACAUAGCAGAAUUAUACUCAGUAAGUUUAAGGAUGUCCAUAAAUUUGGACCCAGGAUUUCCACUUCAAUGACUCUAUAUAAUUUGAAUAACUUAAAACACAGGAUAUUUACUGUCUUUUUCACUCAGGUAGUUUUUUGCCAGCUCAUACUAAAACACUUAAAGGCACAUAACUAUAGGCAUGAAUAAUACAUAAAAGUAUUACAUAACGUAUAUUGCCCGUGUUCCCUUCAAACAAGCAAAAUUUACUGACUUGUUUAGUUUUCCUACUGCUUAGUCUAUACACUAAUACAAAUGUGAAAUACAUUAAAAAUUUUU